GCUCAGUCCGUGCUCUGGGCGCCUGUGGCCGUGGCCGAGUAGAUCAUUCCCCGGGAGCAGACAAGAUCGCCCAGCCUUUCCGUGCUGCUGCAAACACUCCUCCCUUACCCCAACCCUGUCACUGUCUGUUCAAGCUACCAGCAGCAGUUGUUGUGUGAACAUUGACGCUUCGAGCAAGCCCGGGAUUUGAAGUGCCUUGGAGUUAAUCUCGGAGUAUUAUUUUGCCAUGAAGUGUUCCGAGUUGGGAUGGAUAAGACUCAGUGCUUCCCUAAUCAUUGCACAAACAGUUGCAAUGAUGAGCCCCAAUGUUACUUCUGAAUUGGAUGUAACGUUGGCUCCACUGGAGGACAACACUGAAGAGUUUUUUGCAACUGAAACAGUCACUCAAGUGAACAACAACUUUACAGAUGGUUUGGAUUCAAUUAUGAGGAAAUAUUUGGAUCAAAAUGAACAGAGAACAUCCAGAAGGGCCAAGAGAUCUAUCACAGAUAUAGACAGACAAGUAAUCUUAGAUCUUCAUAAUAAACUGAGGGGUCAAGUCUCACCAAGUGCCUCUAAUAUGGAAUAUAUGACAUUUCAUUGAAAGAUUAUCAAAUAAAGUUGAAAGCCAGAUCUUGAAAAUGACAACUAUCAAGCUGUUAUACAGUUCCACCUGUUUCCUACUCUCUAAUAAAAUAUGAUAAAUCACAGACAUGAUACAAUACUUUUUGUAUUUUAUUAAAUUUAUUAAGCACUGAAAAGUAAAAAGAUGUAAAUUUUUAAAAUGUCACCAUA